rnacentral:rRNA from 1 species
UACGAAGGGGGCUAGCGUUGCUCGGAAUCACUGGGCGUAAAGGGUGCGUAGGCGGGUCUUUAAGUCAGAGGUGAAAUCCUGGAGCUCAACUCCAGAACUGCCUUUGAUACUGAAGAUCUUGAGUUCGGGAGAGGUGAGUGGAACUGCGAGUGUAGAGGUGAAAUUCGUAGAUAUUCGCAAGAACACCAGUGGCGAAGGCGGCUGACUGGUCCGGUUCUGACGCUGAGGCGCGAAAGCGUGGGGAGCAAACAGG